rnacentral:rRNA from 1 species
UAGGAUUAGAUACCCUAUUAUUCUAUAACAUAUUAUUUGUCAGAAUAAUACGAACCUUAUGUUUAAAAUUCAAAGAACUUGGCGGUGUCUAAUCAAAACAGGGGAACCUGUCCUUUAAUUCGAUAAUCCACGUCAUCAUUACCUCCCCUCACAUAGCCUGUGUACUGCCGUCGCCAGCACACCUCUAAAAGAGUGUGCAACCAAUACUAUACCAAUCAUACGUCAGGUCAAAGUGCAGCUCAUGGGAAGGAAGAGAUGGGUUACAACCUAAACAAAGAAACGAAGCUCCUAUUAAAAAAGGAAUGAAGGUGGACUUGUAAGUAAUGAGUUCAACAUAUAUUCGUGAAUAUGAAUCUAAGACAUGCACACAUC